rnacentral:rRNA from 1 species
GACGAACGCUAGCGGCGUGCUUAACACAUGCAAGUCGAGCGAUGAAGUUCCUUCGGGAAUGGAUUAGCGGCGGACGGGUGAGUAACACGUGGGUAACCUGCCUCAUAGAGGGGAAUAGCCUUCCGAAAGGAAGAUUAAUACCGCAUAAGAUUGUAGUGCCGCAUGGCAUAGCAAUUAAAGGAGCAAUCCGCUAUGAGAUGGACCCGCGUCGCAUUAGCUAGUUGGGGAGGUAACGGCUCACCAAGGCGACGAUGCGUAGCCGACCUGAGAGGGUGAUCGGCAACAUUGGGACUGAGACACGGCCCAGACUCCUACGGGAGGCAGCAGUGGGGAAUAUUGCACAAUGGGGGAAACCCUGAUGCAGCAACGCCGCGUGAGUGAUGACGGUCUUCGGAUUGUAAAACUCUGUCUUCAGGGACGAUAAUGACGGUACCUGAGGAGGAAGCCACGGCUAACUACGUGCCAGCCGCCGCCGUAA